rnacentral:rRNA from 1 species
GAUGAACGCUGGCGGCGUGCCUAACACAUGCAAGUCGAGCGAAGCACUUACUUUAGAUUUCUUCGGAAUGACGAAGUUUGUGGCUGAGCGGCGGACGGGUGAGUAACGCGUGGGCAACCUGCCCUGUACAGGGGGAUAACAGUUAGAAAUGACUGCUAAUACCGCAUAAGCCCACAGCUUCGCAUGAAGCAGUGGGAAAAACUCCGGUGGUACAGGAUGGGCCCGCGUCUGAUUAGCUAGUUGGUAAGGUAACGGCUUACCAAGGCGACGAUCAGUAGCCGACCUGAGAGGGUGACCGGCCACAUUGGGACUGAGACACGGCCCAAACUCCUACGGGAGGCAGCAGUGGGGAAUAUUGCACAAUGGGGGAAACCCUGAUGCAGCGACGCCGCGUGAGCGAUGAAGUAUUUCGGUAUGUAAAGCUCUAUCAGCAGGGAAGAAAGUGACGGUACCUGACUAAGAAGCCCCGGCUAACUACGUG